UGGGGAAUAUUGCGCAAUGGGGGAAACCCUGACGCAGCAACGCCGCGUGCGGGAUGAAGGCCUUCGGGUUGUAAACCGCUUUCAGCAGGGAAGACAUCGACGGUACCUGCAGAAGAAGCCCCGGCUAACUACGUGCCAGCAGCCGCGGUAAUACGUAGGGGGCAAGCGUUAUCCGGAUUCAUUGGGCGUAAAGCGCGCGUAGGCGGUUUGUUAGGUCAGGAGUUAAAUCUGGGGGCUCAACCCCUAUCCGCUCCUGAUACCGGCAGGCUUGAGUCUGGUAGGGGAAGGCGGAAUUCCAAGUGUAGCGGUGAAAUGCGCAGAUAUUUGGAAGAACACCGGUGGCGAAGGCGGCCUUCUGGGCCACGACUGACGCUGAGGCGCGAAAGCUAGGGGAGCGAACAGG
rnacentral:rRNA from 1 species